rnacentral:rRNA from 1 species
AUGAGCCUAAGUCGGAUUAGCUAGAUGGUGGGGUAAAGGCCUACCAUGGCGACGAUCUGUAGCUGGUCUGAGAGGAUGAUCAGCCACACCGGGACUGAGACACGGCCCGGACUCCUACGGGAGGCAGCAGUGGGGAAUAUUGGACAAUGGGGGCAACCCUGAUCCAGCCAUGCCGCGUGUGUGAAGAAGGCCUUUUGGUUGUAAAGCACUUUAAGCAGUGAAGAAGACUCCAUGGUUAAUACCCAUGGACGAUGACAUUAGCUGCAGAAUAAGCACCGGCUAACUCUGUGCCAGCAGCCGCGGUAAUACAGAGGGUGCAAGCGUUAAUCGGAAUUACUGGGCGUAAAGCGAGCGUAGGUGGCUUGAUAAGUCAGAUGUGAAAUCCCCGGGCUUAACCUGGGAACUGCAUCUGAUACUGUUAGGCUAGAAUAGGUGAGAGGAAGGUAGAAUUCCAGGUGUAGCGGUGAAAUGCGUAGAGACCGGGUGGAANAAGGAGGGCGAANGCAGCCUUCUGGCAUCAUAUUGACACUGAGGUUCGAAAGCGUGGGUAGCAAACAGGAUUAGAUACCCUGGUAGUCCACGCCGUAAACGAUGUCUACUAGUCGUUGGGUCCCUUGAGGACUUAGUGACGCAGCUAACGCAAUAAGUAGACCGCCUGGGGAGUACGGCCGCAAGGUUAAAACUCAAAUGAAUUGACGGGGGCCCGCACAAGCGGUGGAGCAUGUGGUUUAAUUCGAUGCAACGCGAAGAACCUUACCUGGUCUUGACAUAUCUAGAAUCCUGCAGAGAUGCGGGAGUGCCUUCGGGAAUUAGAAUACAGGUGCUGCAUGGCUGUCGUCAGCUCGUGUCGUGAGAUGUUGGGUUAAGUCCCGCAACGAGCGCAACCCUUGUCCUUAGUUACCAGCGGGUUAAGCCGGGAACUCUAAGGAUACUGCCAGUGACAAACUGGAGGAAGGCGGGGACGACGUCAAGUCAUCAUGGCCCUUACGACCAGGGCUACACACGUGCUACAAUGGUAGGUACAGAGGGCAGCUACACAGCGAUGUGAUGCGAAUCUCAAAAAGCCUAUCGUAGUCCAGAUUGGAGUCUGCAACUCGACUCCAUGAAGUAGGAAUCGCUAGUAAUCGCGGAUCAGAAUGCCGCGGUGAAUACGUUCCCGGGCCUUGUACACACCGCCCCGUCACACCAUGGGAGUUGAUUGCACCAGAAGUGGAUAGCCUAACCUUCGGGGAAGGCGUUCACCACGGUGUGGU